GGGUUUGAUAUUUAGGGUUCUUAGUUUUGUGGCUAGAGGUUGGCUUGGUUGAUUUCCCGAGCUUUGAUGAGUCCUCAUGCUUUGAGGACGGAGUUAUAUUGUUUUCAGUUUCUAUCUUACUUUUCAAUUUUGGACAUGAUGUAUGGGCUAGGCCCAAUUUCAUUCUAUUGUAUUAGAUGGAUAAAGAUACAAAGUGUCUAGACUUCCACUUUUCUUUUGUAAAAUGUUUGGACUUGAAAUAUUAUCUCUACCCUUAUGUUAUAUUUCUUAUGUUAUGAA
rnacentral:lncRNA from 1 species